UAACACGUGGGUAACCUGCCCCGAUGAUUGGGACAACCCGAGGAAACUCGGGCUAAUACCAAAUGUGCUCACACCCUCCAAGGGGUGUGUGGAAAGGAAGCUUCGGCCUCCGCAUCGGGAUGGGCCCGCGGCCCAUUAGCUUGUUGGUGAGGUAACGGCUCACCAAGGCUUCGAUGGGUAGCUGGUCUGAGAGGAUGAUCAGCCACAUUGGGACUGAGACACGGCCCAA
rnacentral:rRNA from 1 species